GCCGGGGUGGCGAAAUUGGCAGACGCGCUAGGUUCAGGGUCUAGUGUCUUUACGGACGUAAGGGUUCAAGUCCCUUUCCCGGCACCA
rnacentral:tRNA from 1 species